AUUGAACGCNGGCGGCGUGCUUAACACAUGCAAGUCGAACGUGAAAGUCCUUCGGGACGAGUAAAGUGGCGCACGGGUGAGUAACGCGUGGAUAAUCUACCCUUAAGAUGGGGAUAACGGCUGGAAACGGUCGCUAAUACCGAAUACGCUCCCGAUUUUAUCGUUGGGGGGAAAGAUGGCCUCUGCUUGCAAGCUAUCGCUUAAGGAUGAGUCCGCGUCCCAUUAGCUAGUUGGCGGGGUAACGGCCCACCAAGGCGACGAUGGGUAGCCGGUCUGAGAGGAUGACCGGCCACACUGGAACUGGAACACGGUCCAGACUCCUACGGGAGGCAGCAGUGGGGAAUAUUGCGCAAUGGGCGAAAGCCUGACGCAGCGACGCCGCGUGAGGGAUGAAGGUUCUCGGAUCGUAAACCUCUGUCAGGGGGGAAGAAACCCCCUCGUGUGAAUAAUGCGAGGGCUUGACGGUACCCCCAAAGGAAGCACCGGCUAACUCCGUGCCAGCAGCCGCGGUAAUACGGAGGGUGCAAGCGUUAAUCGGAAUCACUGGGCGUAAAGCGCACGUAGGCGGCUUGGUAAGUCAGGGGUGAAAUCCCACAGCCCAACUGUGGAACUGCCUUUGAUACUGCCAGGCUUGAGUACCGGAGAGGGUGGCGGAAUUCCAGGUGUAGGAGUGAAAUCCGUAGAUAUCUGGAGGAACACCGGUGG
rnacentral:rRNA from 1 species